rnacentral:rRNA from 1 species
AGUUUGAUCCUGGCUUAGGAUGAACGCUAGCGACAGGCUUAACACAUGCAAGUCGAGGGGCAGCACGGGAGUAGCAAUACUUGGUGGCGACCGGCGCACGGGUGAGUAACGCGUAUGCAACCUACCUAUCAGAGGGGAAUAACCCGGCGAAAGUCGGACUAAUACCGCAUAAAACAGGGGCACCGCAUGGUGAUAUUUGUUAAAGAAAUUCGCUGAUAGAUGGGCAUGCGUUCCAUUAGGUAGUUGGUGAGGUAACGGCUCACCAAGCCGACGAUGGAUAGGGGAACUGAGAGGUUGGUCCCCCACACUGGUACUGAGACACGGACCAGACUCCUACGGGAGGCAGCAGUGAGGAAUAUUGGUCAAUGGGCGGGAGCCUGAACCAGCCAAGUCGCGUGAAGGAAAAGAAGGAUCUAUGGUUCGUAAACUUCUUUUGCAGGGGAAUAAAGUGCAGGACGUGUCCUGUUUUGUAUGUACCCUGAGAAUAAGGAUCGGCUAACUCCGUGCCAGCAGCAGC